ACAGCACUCCCUGUGCACUGCCCCUCCCUCAGCUCUCCCUCCUCACCGAGCCCCUUACAGCUCUCCCUCCUCACCGCUCGUCCCACAGUGUUCCCUCCUCACGUCCCCUCCCACAGCACUCCCUCCACACUACCCCUCCCACCCUCCCAACAGCGUUCCCUCCUCACACCCCUCACAAACCCUCCCACGGCUCUCUUUCCUCACUCCCCCGCCACCCUCGUGUCUGGACCCUGCCGUCGGUAGGAUUAAACGAAGGCUUACAGAAGCAUAUUUGCAAAACCAGGGGUAUUGAGAGCAUCCUGAGCAACUGCAUCACUGCCUGAUUCGGAAAUUGCACCAUCUCGGAUCGCAAGACCCUGCAGCGGAUAGGGUCAGCUGAGAAGAUCAUCUUCCUGCCAUCACGGACAUUUACACUACACGCUGCAUCCGGAAAGCAAACAGCAUUAUGAAGGAUCCCACGCACCCCUCAUACAAUCUCUUCUCCCUUCUGCCGUCUGGGAAAAGGCUCCGAAGCAUUCGGGCUCUCACGACCAGACUAUGUGCCCAACAUUGAACCCAGCACUGAAGCCUGCAGCGUACCACCGGUCACCGCCCCCAGCCUGAAAACAAAUCCUCCACUCUCAGCCGGAUGAAAGGUCUUGGCCUGAAGUGACGACUGUUCAUUGCCCUCCCUGUACAGUAUGCUGUCAGCACUUUGUGAUUGACGUUCCUCCGCUCCCACCAGGCUAAUCGGGUAUGCAAUUUGCCAUCUCGCCUUGGAGCCCUCAGAACCUGGCUCCCACACAAGACCUUGUCAAACACUUUGCUGAUGACCAUGUAAACAACAUCCACCGCCUCCAAGUACAAAGGAAUUUUUAUUAUCAAAGUACAUUUCUGUCACAAUAUACAACCUCGAGAUUUGUUUCCUUGCGGGCAUGCUCAGCAAAUCCACAGAAUAAUAACCAUAACGGAAUCAAUGAAAGACUGCCCAACUCCGGCGUUCGACCGGAGUGCAGAAGACAACAAGCUACAAACACAAAAAGGAAGAACUAAUAUUAAUAUAUAAGUAAGUAUCGAGAAAGUGAGAUGAAGAGUUCCUGAAAGUGAGUCCAUUGGUUGUGGGAGCAUUUCAAUGAUGGGGCAAGUUGAAUGAAGUUAUCACCUUUGGGUCAAGUUUCUGAACUGUCUGGUGAGAAUCCUGAGGCUCCUGUACCUUCUCCAUGAUGGCAGCAGCAAGAGAGUAUGACCUGGGGGGUGGGUGUCCCUGAUGAUUGAUAUACCAUCAAUAACUCUCGGAGAUGGGAGGCGAACGAUAGGCUUUUAUUAGCAGCAAACGAGACCACUACAUCUCGGAGACUGAGGGAAGAGCAGUGCCUCCAAUCGCCUUUAUACAGGGGUCUGUGGGAGGAGCCACAGGAGCAGUCAGCAGAGGAGUGUGUCCAGACAGGUAUAUGUAGUUUGCCACAUUCACCCCCCCCCCCUUUGCUUUAAGAGAGAGGCCCCAUGGGCAAAAUUUCUUACAAGUACAUUUACAGGUUAAGUCUAUCAGGCAGUCAAGUCUGUCGCUGUGAUCUACGUAGCACCGGUGACGGUGGUUGUGCUGGCUCCGGCCUGACUUGAGGUGCCAGCCCAUUAGGCGUCAGUAAUCCCUCAUGCGUGUGCAUGGCACCCAGUAUGGGAGUGUCAUGAGGAGUCUGUGUAGGGCUUGGUGUGCAUGGUGUCUCGUGGGUAUAUACAUCGGUGGGUACAGGGUUCAUAGUUGCCGUGGAGUAUUCGGGGUAGGGGUCUGGUGCUCCUGCGGGCACCAGGUCGCGGAUGGAGACCAUGUCCUCCUGCCCAUCAGGUAAGACCACGUAGGCAUACUGGCGGUUCGCAUGAAGUAGGUGGACCCUCUCAACCAUCGGGGAGUAUUUAUUGCUCCUCGCAUGUCUCCGGAGCAGCACUGGCCCUGGGGACAUCAGCCAAGCCGGUAGGGUAGUCCCAGUGGCAGACUUCCUGGGAAAAUAAGAGUCAGUCUCUCAUGAAGGUUGGAUUGCAUAACAGGGAGCGGAUGAAGUGGAGUGCCUCGGGGAGGACCUCCUGCCAGCGAGAGACCGGCAAUCCCUUUGACCUAAGGGCUAAGAGUGUGGCCUUCCACACCGUGGCAUUCUCCCUCUCCACCUGUCCAUUCCCCCAGGGAUUAUAGCUCGUUAUCCUACUAGUAGCAAUACCCCUAGCCGGCAGGUACUGGCGCAGCUUGUCACUCAUAAAGGAGGACCCUCUAUCACUGUGGAUAUAGCAGGGAUACCCGAACAGAGUGAAGAGCUGGCACAGGGUUUUUAUGACGGAGUGGCAGUGGUAUCAGGGCAGGGGAUGGCAAAGGGGAACCGCGAGUACUCAUAGAUUAUGUUGAGAAAGUAGACAUUGUGGUCAGUCCCUUAAAGUCUACACUCAGUCGCUCAAAGGGGCGUGUGGCCUUGAUAAGUUGUGCCUUUUCAGGAUGGUAGAAGUGCGGUUUGCACUCAGCGCAGACUUGAGUCCCUGGUCAUUGUCCUGAUGUCCUCAAGGGAGUAAAGCAGGUUCCGGGCUUUCACGAAAUGGUAAAGUCGGGUGACCCCCGGGUGGCAAAGAUCUGCAUGGAGGGCGUAUAGCCUGUCGAGCUGCACGCUGGCACACGCUCCCUGUGAUAGGGCAUCAGGGGGCUCAUUGAGCCUUCCAGGCCGCUACAGGAUGUCGUAGUUGUAGGUGGAGAGUUCUAUUCUCCACCUCAAAAUUUUAUCAUUUUUGAUUUUGCCCCGCUGAUGGUUGCUGAACAUGAACGCAACUGAGCGCUGGUCGAUCAGCAAGGUGAACCUUCUGCUGGCGAGAUAGUGCCUCCAGUGCCUAAUAGCUUCCACUAUGGCCUGUGCUUCUUUCUCCACCGCAGAGUGCCGAAUUUCAGGUCCUUGAAGGGUACGAGAGAAGAAUGUACCGGUCUUCCUGCCUGAUUGAGGGUAGCAGCCAGCGCGAAGUUGGAAGCGUCACUCUCUACUUGGAAGGGAAUGGUCUCGUCCACCACAUGCAUUGUUGCUUUGGCAAUGUCCCCUCGGCUGAGAGGGGAAAUGCGGUGGACUUGACCAGGCCUUGUCUGCGUAGUGAAGGACCCAUUGGGCGUAAUAGGAAAAGAAGCCCAGGCACCAAAUGAGGGCUUUGAGAGUGGUGGGAAGAGGGAGUUCUAACAGGGGAUGCAUACGGUCGGGAUCAGGGCCAAUGACCCCGUUCUCCACGACAUACCCAAGGAUAACAAGUCAGGUGGUUCCAAACACACACUUGUCCCUGUUAUAGGUGAGGUUAAGAACUUUGGCCGCUUGGAAAAAUUGUUGGAGAUUGGUGUCGUGAUCCUGCCAGUCGUGACCGCAGAUGGUGAUGUUAUCCAGAUAUGGGAACAUGGCCUUCAGUUGGCACUGGUCCACCAUCUGGUCCAUUUCCCUCUGGAAGACAGAGACACCAUUCGUGACACCGAAGGGGACGCGCAGAAAGUGAUAGAGCCUGCCACCCACCUCGAGGGCAGUGUAGGGGUGGAUAGGGAGCUGAUGGUAAAUGGAUUUUAGGUCUAUGGUCGAGUACACCUUGUACUGAGCUAUCUGAUUGACCAUAUCUGCGAUGCGGGGUAGGGGGUACACGUCAAGCUGUGUGAACCUAUUGAUAGUCUGGCUAUAGUCCACGACCAUCCUAUUUUUCUGCCUGGUCCGAACAACGACCACCUGGGACCUCCAAGGACGUGCUUGGCUCAAUGAUCCCCUCCCUGAGCAGCCGCUGCACCUCCGACUUAAUGAAGGCCCUGUCCCCCGCACUGUACCUCCUGCUUUUAGUUGCCACAGGUUUACAGUUGGGGGUCAGGUUGGCA